UCGAGCUCACGACCCUGAGAUCAUGACCUGAGCCGAAAACAAGAGCCGGAAGCUUAACCGACUGAGCCGCCCAGGCUUCCCUUUAUGUGGUACUUCUUUUACUUCAGGGGUAGCUCCCCCAUUUGAGGUGGAGGGGAGCUCCCCCUUUCCUCCGCAUUGUGUGAAUUCUGGGGAACAGUAGACUUAGCAAUGCUUCACGUGUGCCCUCGUGUAUCUCCCACAGUGUACAAGGGUUCAUAACAAGCAGACAGUCUCAAGACAACCCCUGGCGUUCUGGUCCCCAGGGCAGGGCGUGGAAACGCAGCUGGAAGGUAGUCUUGAGGGGCCCUGGCACACGUGAGGUUACCAUGCCCUUCUCACAUCCCGUGCCUUGCAGCUCCAUUUGUCACUGAAAUGGAAGCCUCUUGAAAGUCAUCUCAGUGAUGAAAUGAGCGGCACUUUUCUGAAUGAAAGACACCGUUCUCUUUAACAUGCCUAUGAGGUAGCUCACUGAGUGGCCCCUGACGUGUGGAGCCUAUCUGUAGCCUCCUCAGCUACUGGACUGACGGGUGUUAGGGCUGAAGAGGGCUCUGACAAAGAUAGGCCAGCGCAUGGCCGUUUCCUGCUGCCAAAGAAGACAGGCUUUCUCCCGGCUACGGGCAUGCACCGCAGACAUGGGGUUGUCUGUCUCAACGGCAUGGCUUGGAUACCGCAGUGUGGAGCUAGUGUGGGAUUUCCAGUGCUGCUGGGCCCUCUUGGGAUGAGCAGAGCCUCUGAGCUGCAAUUCUUGGCCCAUUUUGGGAAAUCUGAUGGAGUCUAUGGUUUCUCUCCCCCAGAGAAACACAACCCAGACUCAGCCGGAUAUAAGAGCCUGGCAUUUGGGGUAAAGGCCCUUGUGUUAGGGCACUAUGACUCUGUUCUCUUCUCACUUACUUUUUGGGCUUCCUGUUUGGUUUUGCCCUCCUUCCCUUUAGGACUGCAGACAUGGUGCCGGUGCUGUUGGGGCAGUGAUGGCGAGUUCCUGUGUCUGGGGUCAGCUGUCCUGGCGGUGACCGUGUGGAUGACAGGGGCAAGAGUCUCUUGGAAGGAGGUGACACAUUUACCUCCAUUUACGAGUGAGGAGCCAGAAGAAAGAGGGGAGCGAUGAGCUGAGGCCACAAAGCCAGGGAGCAAGAGAGCUUGGGUCUGGAGUUAAGUGGUCUGGUUUCCAAGUCCGAGCUCCCAGCCCUCCACCGCGCUGCCCGGGGCCUGGAGGAAACCCCGUGUGCUGAGCGGGUUUUCUGAACUGAAAAACCAGGAUGAGGAGAAUCAUCCAUUCAACACACGCAAAGCAUUUGUGCUGAUACCUAUUCUGGGCUUUGCUCUGUGUUAGGCUCAGCGUGCACCAGUGGAAAUAUGACAAGGUCCCUGCCGCAUGGGGCUUGGGAAUAGAACACGUGUUACUGGCUCAGCACUGGCCGCCAUCAUCAACGAGCAGAAAGAAGUCCCAUGCAGCUUCCGUGUCAACUGAUGUACUGUGACUCUCCCAUUCCUCAGCUUGUGUGGCCCUGACUCAUGGCUCAGGCUUCUGCAAGGCUCCAGCCUCGGGCCUUCCCUGUGAGACUCAGCAAACACUCACAGAGCGUCCAUCUGCGCGGGCACUUUGCAAAUGGCUCGCGUGCAAUGCUCACUCAAUCCUGGGAGAAAGGGGCAGGCCUGCUCAAGGUGUCUUAGCCACAAAGUGGCAGGGUAGGAUUCAAACCCAGGUCUGCUUCUGAGGCCAGAGGCCCCAGGAGAUGAGGCGGGGCCACUUGGUCCCCGGGCUAGUGGGCAGGAGCUAGUGGAUGCUAGGAGCCAGCCUCCUCUGGAGCUCUUAGGAGGGAUCCAGAUUAAUCUUUAUGAAUAACUUAAUAAUUAUUAAUCCUCAGGAGGCUACUGAUGUGGCAGGGCUCUGAGUUUGGCUGUUUUUCUUCUUCUCCCACACUUGCCUCCCACAGCCACUCGUUCUGGGCCUGGGGAUGGGAGGUGGGGGUGUUCCCAUCAAAAGAACCCUCUUUCUGGGGCGCCUGGGUGGCUCAGUCGUUAA